AGAACAGAACCUGUUCUUGGUUUUAUGGGUGUGAGUUUGUGCUUGAUUUUUGGAAUAAGGAUAUGGGGAAGAACAAAAGUUCUUUGGUAUUGGUAUUGUUUCUGAUAUGGAUAUAUUUUCUGGGUAUUGGUCAAGAUGAAGAAACAAGGUUCUUCUGUUGAAGGUAUUGGAAUGGCUAAGAGUUUCUGGUGCUUGGUUAAGAUGAAGAACAGAGCUCUUCUCUUGGCAAUUCUGGCAGCGGAAUAUGGGUAUGGGUAAUUUAGAUUUCUAGAUAUGGGUAUCGGUCUCAAGAGCAAACUGCUCUGAUACCAUGUCAAAUCUGGUAAUGUAUUUCUGUAUUCAAGCACUCAUACAACUGAAUUACAAUCAUGCUCUUAUAGAGCUCAUACCAUGA